rnacentral:rRNA from 1 species
UUGGAGGGCAAGUCUGGUGCCAGCAGCCGCGGUAAUUCCAGCUCCAAUAGCGUAUAUUAAAGUUGUUGCAGUUAAAAAGCUCGUAGUUGAAUUUCGGGAUUGACGUGAUGGUCAUGCCUUAAGGGGUAUGAACUGUUACAGUUGAUUUCUCACCUUCUGGAGAAACUUGAUGUCCUUUAUUGGGUGUCUUGCGGAUCCAGGACCUUUACCUUGAAAAAAUUAGAGUGUUUAAAGCAGGCAUUUUUGCUCGAAUACAUUAGCAUGGAAUAAUAGAAUAGGACGGCAUGGUUCUAUUUUGUUGGUUUCUAGGAUCACCGUAAUGAUUAAUAGGGAUAGUUGGGGGCAUUAGUAUUCAAUUGUCAGAGGUGAAAUUCUUGGAUUUAUUGAAGACUAACUACUGCGAAAGCAUUUGCCAAGGAUGUUUUCAUUAAUCAAGAACGAAAGUUAGGGGAUCGAAGACGAUCAGAUACCGUCGUAGUCUUAACCAUAAACUAUGCCGACUAGGAAUCAGACGGUGUUAAUUUUUUAAUGACUCGUUUGGCACCUUACGGGAAACCAAAGUGUUUGGGUUC